UGUCCCAGCUAACAUUGGUCCGACGGCAACGUCGUGUCCCUGGCCAAAAAUAGUCGCGGUAGGACGGCAUAAAUCCGUAAAAAUAUGUAACACAGAACUCUGCCUAAAAAUGCAUUCAGAUACGUUUGUACAUGCAUAAAGUUCUCUGGGGUUGCAUAUAUAAUUAUUACUUUAAGUUUUAGCUCCGUGUAGUGCAAUACAUACACUGUUGUGAACCAGUUGUGAGAGGACGUCCACAAGGUGACGUCCUUUACACGUGCAUUUAUAGUCCAUCAUGACCCUGUAUGAAAUCAGUAUGAAAUAUGCAAAAGCAAUUGUGCUUACACCUUGAUUAUUACUGUAAUACUUUAUUUAAGUGCCCCAAGUAGUUUUAAGACGACCACGUCUAGUCAAGCAUUACCCAUUCAAAAUAAAUAAAGAAAUAAGUAAAUUAGUAAAUAAAAACAGGAAAUCGUAAUGAAAUAAACGUAAUUUGGUAUUUCUAUCUUGUUUAAUUAAUAUGUGCCAUAUGGUUAAGUGAUUGCAAAGCCACUGAAUUUUAGUUAUAAUUCUACCCGUUUUCCAUAAAUUUCAAUACGAUUUUAUUAUUUUAAGUUUAUGCAUAUACAUAUAAAACAGAUAUCUCUGGUCAACAUUUGAAGUCUGGGUGAAGAUUACCAAAACUGUGCUGCCAAGAUGUUGCAACAAAUCUCGCGGUGGGAUAGAUUAUCUCGCGAUAGGAUAGAUUAUCUCGCGAUGGGAUAGAUUAUCUCGCGAUAGGAUAGAUUAUCUCGCGAUGGGAUAGAUUAUCUCGCAAUACAAUACAUUAUCUCGCGAGAAAGCCUUAACGUUUUUCUUUCCAUAAACACAAGGAAAGCGCAUCGGUGUGUUGUAAGGCUUUACAAAUUAUUCUACUAAAAUCUACUGGUGGGUAAAAUUGUGUGCCCAACACAUUUAGAUGCAACGUGCCCGACCCCUGACUUGUUCAACACUAUGUUAAGUUUGGAUGUUCAAAUCACACCUGCACGUACAAACCUAUCAACAUUCACGCCUUCACCAGUAGCAACUGGGCUGUCACACUUCCAGGAGGAAAGAACAGGACAAUUUAAUCCAACCUCACUGGAUCUUCAAAGACAGAGGCAAAGGACCACAUCUCAUGAAAUGGCUACCCCCAGAUGACAAUUUACUCAAACCCUACUGGAUCUUCAAGUAAGACCGAGGCAAAGGCCCACAUCUCAUGAAACGGCUACCCCCAGAAUGGAUGCACAACAUGACACCAGUGGAGGUCGAGGUUAACAUCAACAACACUCGUGGACCCGUGGACACAUGUUGAGGCGGUCACAUAACGAACAGCCAUCUGUCAGACAGAAAAAUUCAGGAACCCUCUUCCAGGCCAUGUGCCAAAACCGAAUGAGUAUUGUCUCCAGUCCCAAAUUCAUCAUUGCCAUCCCAGUCCCAGACGACCCCCAGU